rnacentral:rRNA from 1 species
UUGCAGUUAAAAAGCUCGUAGUUGGAUUUCGGAGUGGGCCAGUUGGUCCGCCGCAAGGUGUGUUACUGACUGGUUUGCUCUUCUGCGCAAAGACUGCGUGUGCUCUUUGUUGAGUGUGCGUAGGAUUUACGUCGUUUACUUUGAAAAAAUUAGAGUGUUCAAAGCAGGCUAUUGCUUGAAUACAUGAGCAUGGAAUAAUGGAAUAGGACUUUGGUCCCAUUUUGUUGGUUUCUAGGACCGAAGUAAUGAUUAAGAGGGACAAUUGGGGGCAUCCGUAUUUCGUUGUCAGAGGUGAAAUUCUUGGAUUUGCGAAAGACGAACAACUGCGAAAGCACUUGCCAAGAGUGUUUUCAUUAAUCAAGAACGAAAGUUAGAGGAUCGAAGACGAUCAGAUACCGUCCUAGUUCUAACCAUAAACGAUGUCGACUAGGGAUCAGCGGGCGUUAUCGUACGACCCCGUUGGCAC